AGCUCAGCCUGAGACUUCUCUAAAGAAUCUAGUUUGCUUCUAUGUUCAGUUUGGUACCUCUUUAAAGUUGCCUGCAAUCAAAGCAUUUAAAACAUCUCAUAAUGCACUCAGCCAUGUAACUGGACUCCCUGUAUGCUGUGCCUCAGGCAAAAGCCCUUUCAUGCUGGAAUCUCCUUACUGCCACCGGUGAUCCACAGGCACUGCUCUCAAGGCUUAUUUCUUUGUCAACAGACAUACCCAGGUGAAGAAAAAACUAUGAUCGCUAAGCAUGAGCUGAGAGAGAAUGGCCUCCUGCCUGCUGUACUAGCCCCAGCACCUCGUGAUCGCACUAUGUUUGGGUCAUACAAUGAGCUAAAAAACCAGCACCAUGGAUUUCUGACAACUAUGAAGUCUUGCCAUCCAUACGCAAUUGUCCUGACUGGUUAAAUUGUUUGAAACCAGCAACUCUGCUUUCUGCAAACAACCUGCAAAGCAAAUACAGAAAAAGCGACUACGUUAGGACUGUUUGCUUUGUACUGUUUACUGUUCUGCCGCUCCCAACUUUCAACACAGAAUGUUAACACUCACACAAAAAUGGUUUCUGAACAAAUCAAAAAUGUAUGCAGGCACACAGAAACCUGUGGCCACCAUCAAGGAGAGUCUUUCGCCUCAGUUCUGCUUCAGCAGAAUCAUUAAAAAACAUUUACUGAAAACAUCCUUUUUAAUCAGCUGAAUUAACAGUAUUGUGACUUACAGGAACAGAUGGCAUGUUACAUCAUUGGGAAAGUCCUACAUUGCCCAUAAUCAAAAGUUCAGAGACAAGACACUUCAUCAAGUUAUUUUUGUCAAAAAGCAAGUGAAGGCUUUAAAUGUUUCUCUAUACAGUAUAGCUCCUGCUUCUUUGUUUUGUAGUCAUGUUAGAAUCUUUUCUCAGAAAUAUUACAAAUACUUCGAUGACAACUUCAUUUUUGUAGAUUGAGCGGUAUCAUUUCAAUGCUAGCCAAAGGAGUACAAAAUGAAGUGCUAAUGACGAGCUUUCAAAAAUUCAGAAAUUAUUUUCAGGAAAGUACAGACCUUGGAUUAAUUUUACAUUAACAUAAAUGUACUACAUCUUUGACCCUACAGUCUCUCUUUCAAAAGCUCAACUAGAAAAUAAAUAAUGCAUCUGAGAACUUUUAGUGAUAUACUUGAUCAAAGAAUAUUGAAGUAGAGCUAAACUCUUCACAAUGGAACUCAUCCAGAAAAUUGUCCUAAUACCAAUAUUGUGUUGCAGAAAAUGUCAACAUUCACCUCUGUACUAAAAAAAGUAAAGCUACACAUUUUUCCAUAUUUCUCUAUUAUAGAAUUAUGUGAACUUAAAUGCAUGCUUUUGAAUGCACAGGCAGGAGUAUAUUCACAAAAGUAAAAAAACAAAACUGAUUUUGUCAAAACAUUUUAAGUGUCUUAAGAAAUAAUAUACCUUAAAGGAAUCUAAUCCCUUCCAUCUGUGCGUUAUUUAAAAGACACUUUUCCCAAUGCUUUUCUAUUUUCACAUUAGUUCUGUGAACUGCCAGCAGGAAAA